GACGAGCCCCCUUUUCCUUUUAUCCCUUUUCGCAUUUUCAACAAGGACAGGAGACUAGGAAGGCGGAGGUAGGCUUCUGUUGGCAGGGCCUCAGUGGAGACCUCCCGGGGUCCCGGGACGCAGACGGACGGGCCUGAAUCGCUCGCCUUGGUGAAAUGGGAUCCAGCGCUGCCAACUGCGGCAACUGCGGUUAAAGGAGACGACCCCGUGCAGCAGGAUGAAGUUAUUUAGAAUAAGGAAGAAUGCGCCGGGCUCAUUGGUCGCUCCAGGGGCAUAAAUUUUUUCUAGGAUUCCAGAGUAUGGCGGCUCCAGUCCCAGUUCGGCUCGACUUACAGACCUCAGCGCAGGACGUGGACGCCCUGCAAAGAGGAGAUUUCAGCGAACGGCAGAGAAUACAGAUUUAUGCCAGCGCCCUGCGGAAGGAGCCUCUGGCGGGUCAUCCCCAUUUAUGGGAGAUUGCAGAGUGGUGAGCAAAGUCUUGCACCAGCGGGGAUGUUGGGGUGGAACUGAACCUGUUGUAGGGGACCCCCAGUGUGCCCUGGUUUCCUUGUUUUCCUCCUUGCUACCUUGGAGUUCUGGAAACAGCCAGCAUUUAAUGAACACUACCAGGUGCCACAUCGCGCUCUGUGAUGUGCAAUCCCAGUCUUCUCUCACUUUGCUUUCGCAGGCUUGAGCUUUAUCGCUCCAAGUACUCCACGACUGCCCCAAAGAAAA
rnacentral:lncRNA from 1 species